GAUUGGUUGCUGUUGCUUCCUGCUUUCGCUUCGCCUUCACCCGUUCGCCGUGCGGCCGAGCUCUCUAGUUCCGCCGCUCGCUAGUCGCCUUCCUCCCAAAUGGCGACCGCCAUGCGGGGCAGCAGCCUCCUGCGGUUCGGUUUCCGCCAUCCUUCCUGCCUCCUGUUCCAGUCCCCUCGGUGUCCUGCCCCGAGCCUGGGUCUGAACCUGGCCGUUGGCCGCACCGGGCUUAUACGCCUCCGAUGCUCGGCGGCCGGGGCCGGCGACGCCGGUGGAAAGAAGGUGUCGGCUCGGCUGGCUCUGACGCAGCAGGUGCUGCGGAACGCCGAGGAGCGCGCCGCGUCGGCGGGUUCGGACCCUGCCCCCAAGAUCACCCUGGAUCAUGUUACUGUUAAUUUUGCAAGAAGUGGUGGUCCUGGUGGUCAGAAUGUUAACAAAGUUAACACAAAGGUUGACAUGCGAUUCAAUGUUAAGGAAGCUCACUGGCUUGGGGAGAGAAUCAAGGAACGGAUAUUACAAGCGGAGAAGAAUAGGAUAAAUAAAGAUGGAGAGCUUGUUAUAUCUUCUACAAAAACUAGAACACAGAAGGGCAAUAUUGAAGAUGCAUUGCAGAAAAUACAGGCAAUCAUUGAUGCUGCAUCAUAUGUUCCUCCACCCCCAACAGAAGACCAAAAGAAAAAGAUUGAAAAAAUUGCUGCAGUUGCUGAAAGGAAGAGACUUCAGAAUAAGAAGGUGCUUUCACAGAAGAAGGAAUUUAGACGGAACAGAACUAGCUGGGAUUGAUGCAAGGUAUCUUGCACAGACCCGUCUUUCUGUUUUGUGCCAUUCCGCGGUGGGCAUUGGCAAUAGUUUAGAGGGCUUGUUCUCGGGGUAGCAAAAGCAUUCGGCUGAUCCUUACAGCAGUGGUGUACAGAGACCGACGAAAAACAAGGGUCAGACUUGCUGAAGGCAUCUUGGUGAAGAAGAUAUAGCUAAGUUUCGUAGGCAUCUCCAGUUUUUGUUUCGUCUAUUAGUAGGGAUGGAUUCGGAUCGGAUACUCAUGGAAACAGAUCCGAACGUCACUAUUUACCAUAUUUUAAUCCGAAUACGAAUACUAUCGGAUACGAAUACAAAACGGAUAGUUCGAAUUCGGAUUUACAUUCGAAUACUUACUUGAUUUGGAACAUAGCAUCAUAACAAGUAUUAAUUUGUUUUAUCGAUGGAUUUAUAGUUGA